AACUUCCAGGUUCCAUGCCCAUCAAAUGUAAACACUGCUCUGAGUGGUGAUAGAAGGAUGAAAAGUAAAAUAGAAACAAAUGUCACUUGUUUUAUAUGAUACACGAGCUAGUUUCUAACAAAC
rnacentral:snoRNA from 1 species